UGCUCUCUGCUCUAGUGGUUAAGUGCUAUGGCUGCUAACCACAGGGUCGGCAGUUCAAAUCUGCCAGGGGCUC
rnacentral:tRNA from 1 species